rnacentral:rRNA from 1 species
UCAAGCUACCAAGGGCACAUGGGGGAUGUCUUGGCGUCAAGAGCCGAUGAAGGGCGUGGAAGUCUGCGAAAAGCCUGGGGAAGCUGACAAACGAGCGAUGAUCCCGGGAUUCCUGAAUACUGCACACUGAAUACAUAGGUGUGUUAGUGGCAACCUAGGGAACUGAAACAUCUAAGUACCUAGUGGAACAGAAAGAAAAAUCGAUUCCGUAAGUAGCGGCGAGCGAAAGCGGAUUAGCCCAAACCGAGAGGGUUUCCCUCCCGGUGUUGUAGGGCACAUCGUAUGGCGGCAAAGAACGAGUAACAGAACGGUCUGGAAAGGCCGACCACAGAGGGUGACAGUCCCGUAAGUGAAACUCUAGUAAGUGUUGUCGAUGUGUUCCUGAGUAGGUCCAGUCACGUGAAACCUGGAUUGAACCCGCGGGGACCAUCCCGCAAGGCUAAAUACUCCUUGACGACCGAUAGCGAACCAGUAGGGCGACUGAAUGAUGAGAAGAACCCCUGCUAGGGGAGGAAUGUGAACCUGAAACCAUGUGCUUACAAGCGGUCGGAGCCCUAUAACUCUUCGGAGUCACGGGUGACGGCGUGCCUUUUGCAUAAUGAUCCGGCGAGUUGUGGUAAUCGGCUUGGUUAAGUUCUGACGGAACGAAGCCCAAGGGAAACCAAGUCUGAAUAGGGCGUUGGUCGAUUGCUGCAGACGCGAAACCUGUGUGAUCUACCCAUGGGCAGGUUGAAGCGCGGGUUAAACUGCGUGGAGGACCGAACCCACUUAGGUUGAAAACUGAGGGGAUGACUUGUGGGGAGGACUGAAAGUGUAAUCAAACCAGGAGAUAGCUCGUUCUCUCCGAAAUAUCUUGAGGGAUAGCGUCGAGCCACUAUUUAUCGGGGGUAGAGAUACUGAAUCGGAUGGGGGCCCUUCCAAGGGUACCCCACCGAACCAAACUCCGAAUACCGAUAAAACUAUCUCGGCAGUCAGUCCGCGGGGGAUAAGCUCCGCGGUCGAGAGGGAAACAACCCAGACCAUCUGCUAAGGUCCCGAAGUAGUACUUAGUCACUAAGGAAGUUGAAUUGCUAAGACAGCUGGGAUGUUGGCUUAGAAGCAGCCACCAUUUAAAAAGUGCGUAACAGCUUACCAGUCGAGCAAUUCUGCGCCGAUAAUGAACGGGAGUAAGUACUACACCGAAGCAAUGGAUGCUAACCUUUUGGUUAGCGUGGUAGGAGAGCGCCGAUGAUCAGAUACAAGCCGUACGGUAACGAGCGGUGUUGGGGUCAUCGGGUGAUUAUGCCGGAAUGAGUAACGAUAAAGCAGGUGAGAAUCCUGCUCGCCGAAAGCGUAAGGUUUCCUGGGGAAGGUAAAUCCGCCCAGGGUUAGCCGGUCCCUUAGUCGAGGCCGAAAGGCGUAGACGAUGGAUAACAGGUCAAUAUUCCUGUGCCGGUUGUGCAUUCGAUGCUGGGACGGCGUCCGGAAAGUGAGCGGUACGAAUAGAAAUGUCCGUAGCAAACACUGAGGCGUUGGGGGUUAAAUGACCCGACAUCAACCAAGGUUAAGCUCGAGAGCGUUUAAGUUCUCGAAGUCAUUGGAAGGACGUCCAAGAAAAGCAGCUAAGUUAUGUGCACAAUCGACCGUACUAAAACUGACACAGGUACGCGAGACGAGUAGUCUAAGGCGCUCGGGAGAACGGUGGUUAAGGAACUCUGCAAAAUGGCCCCGUAAGUUCGCGAUAAGGGGCGCCUCCGGCGGUUUACGCUGCUAGAGGCCACAGAAAAUCGGCUCUAACGACUGUUUAUCAAAAACACAGGUCUCUGCUAACACGUAAGUGGAUGUAUAGAGACUGACGCCUGCCCGGUGUUGGUAGGUUAAGGAAGACGGUUAGCUCUUCGGAGCGAAGCUGGCGACCGAAGCCCCAAUAAACGGCGGCCCUAACUAUGAGGGUCCUAAGGUAGCGAAGUUCCUUGUCGGGUAAGUUCCGACCUGCAUGAAAGGCGUAACGAUUGGAGCACUGUCUCAACCACCGACCCGGUGAAAUUGUAGUUGUGGUGAAGAUGCCACAUACCCGCGGUUAGACGGAAAGACCCCGUGAACCUUUACUGUAGGCAGUUAUUGGGUUGAGUUAUGUUCUG